rnacentral:lncRNA from 1 species
AGGGCGCAACGGAAGAUACGGGAUUAUAAAAUUUUCUUAUAAAACCCAUUAUAUGAAACCCUAAUAAGCUAAGAUCACCUUAAUAGUAUAACCAAAUAAUGUAGAAAAUAUAAUCUUGGUAUAGAAGAAUACCUAUCACGCUAUAUCCAAUAUGUCUGAAGAUGUCCUAAGGUGCCCAAAUGUUCACCCUCCGAUGUUGAUCCACACAGGAAUGGGUUCAAGACUCUAGCUCCACCAAAACUUGAUUCUAAUUGUUCAAUCCUUCCAAAGAAUUUAAUUGGCU